GAUGAACGCUGGCGGCGUGCCUAAUACAUGCAAGUCGAGCGAACAGAUAAGGAGCUUGCCCGUUUGACGUUAGCGGCGGACGGGUGAGUAACAUGUGGGUAACCCACCUAGAAGACUGGAAUAAACCCGGGAAACCGGGGCCUAUGCCGGAUAAACUUCAGAACCGCAAGGUUGUAAAGUGAAAGACGGCUUUGCUAUCACUGAUAGAUGGACCCGGGCCGUAUUAGCUAGUUGGUAAGGUAACGGCUUACCAAGGCAACGAUCCGUAGCUGACCUGAGAGGGUGACCGGCCACACUGGAACUGAGACACGGUCCAGACUCCUACGGGAGGCAGCAGUAGGGAAUCUUCCGCAAUGGGCGAAAGCCUGACGGAGCAACGCCGCGUGUGUGAUGAAGGUCUACGGAUCGUAAAGCUCUGUUAUUGGGGAAGAACAAAUGUGUAAGUAACCGUGCACGUCUUGACGUUACCUACUCAAGAAGCCACGGCUAACUACGUG
rnacentral:rRNA from 1 species